UCUGGUUGAAUCAAAUCACCGAUGGUGUUUUCAAUGAACACGGCUCUGGAGAAUGCCUUCCAUGGCCUAGCGAGGUAGGUCUUCACGGUGAGCCUGUCGGCGGCGAGCUCAGGUGCUGCUUGAAUCUGGCAGUUCUGGAGGACGACUCCGGUGGGCAUGUUCUUCUGGGCGGUACCGUCGGCGACGACGAUGUUCUGCUGGUUUGACAUGGGCUUCCUGACCAAGAUCUUGGAGUUUUGGAUCAAGGUGGUGGCGUAGCCGAAGAUGAAGUCGAUGGUACCGGAGAUCUCGCAGUUGCGGUAGAACUGACGGUGAGCGUGUGCAUACAGCGAGUCUUGGUAGCCGCGGAUCGCGACGUCGAAGAAGGCUGAGCAGUCACCAUUCACACGGAGUGCAACUGCUUGGUGUCCCUGUGGCCCGGCGGUGUUCUCAAAUGCAAUUGACUUGGCAAUGAAGUUUGGAGCAAGGGUGGCUGCACAUUGCACAAAUUUUAUCAAUACACAAAGAAAAAUGCGUGAAAAUGAGAUGAGAGAUGAAUGAAUUAUUAUCUUAUGUGUAACCAACUAUCCCUAAAAAAUGACUAUUAAUUGAAAAAAUGACCAAAAAAAUUAUUUCCGCAUAUCAAUUACACUUUCAUCUUCAUUUUGACAAAAUAUAUAGAAAAGAAAAAUAAAAUGAAUGAUAUGAUAAGAAAUAUAGAUAGAUAAGAAAAAUGAAUGAAAAUGAGGACUCAGAAUGGCUAACUUACUGAAUGUGGCAGUUCUCAUGGUCUUGACACCGGCGGCGUAGUUCUUGUUUCCGGUGAUGAUGGUCUUGGUAGGGCCGUCACCGUACAAGAGAAUGUUGGGCUUCUUCUUGUCAACGUUGAUGUACUCGUCAUAGACACCAGCCUUGACAUAGAUGAGGAAUCUACCUUGGUGCUUCUUAGGGUAUGAGUUAAUGGCUUCAGUAAUGGUCUUAAACUGGCCACUACCAUCCUUAGCCACAAUUGCGUUGGGCAGAACAUUUGACUUGGACUCCACGAGUUUACGAUCAGCAAAAGAGAGCCAUGUAGGGUACCCUUCAGCAUCAAUCUCAAGAAGGCGACGAGCGGGUUUCAGGUGCAGGUUGAAAUCAAAAGCUCCGAGGACCUUGGAGAUUCCGGAAACAAUGUCAAGUGCCAAGCCAGUAAGUUUACCAACAUCGUCCAAGCUUCCUUGUUGAAGCUUGUCCUGGACCUCUUUCUCGCCCUUGGUGUCGAACCCGUCCAGGCAAGAUUGCUGGUAAGCAACGACUGCGCUGAGCCAGUUUUUAAGCUCGGCGGAGCGCUGGUUAACAUCAAGGAGGCUGC
rnacentral:lncRNA from 1 species